rnacentral:rRNA from 1 species
UACAGAGGGUGCGAGCGUUGUCCGGAAUCACUGGGCGUAAAGGGCGCGUAGGUGGCUGGGUAAGUGUGCGGUGAAAGCCCGGGGCUCAACCCCGGGUCGGCCGUGCAGACUGCUUGGCUCGAGCAUAGUAGAGGCAGGUGGAAUUCCGGGUGUAGCGGUGGAAUGCGUAGAGAUCCGGAAGAACACCGGUGGCGAAGGCGGCCUGCUGGGCUAUUGCUGACACUGAGGCGCGACAGCGUGGGGAGCAAACAGG